GACGAACGCUGGCGGCGUGCUUAACACAUGCAAGUCGAGCGGAAAGGCCCUUUCGGGGGUACUCGAGCGGCGAACGGGUGAGUAACACGUGAGUAAUCUGCCCUUGGCUUUGGGUUAACCACCGGAAACGGUGGCUAAUACCGGAUAUGACGGGCUCCGGCAUCGGGGUUCGUGGAAAGUUUUUUCGGCCAGGGAUGUGCUCGCGGCCUAUCAGCUUGUUGGUGGGGUAAUGGCCUACCAAGGCUUCGACGGGUAGCCGGCCUGAGAGGGUGACCGGCCACACUGGGACUGAGACACGGCCCAGACUCCUACGGGAGGCAGCAGUGGGGAAUAUUGGACAAUGGGCGGAAGCCUGAUCCAGCAACGCCGCGUGAGGGAUGACGGCCUUCGGUGUAACCUCUUUCAGUACCGACGAAG
rnacentral:rRNA from 1 species